UUCACACACACUCACCUCACCAAACCCUAACCUAGCCGCCACCCCCAGAAUCACAACAUACACACACAACUUCAGUUGAAAGGAAAAAGAAAGAAGAAAGAAAGGGAAGAGAGGGGAAGGGAGACGCAGGAAAAGGAGAAGGGGGAAGAAGAGGAAGGCAGCGUGGUGGGUGUCACCGCCACCGCCGCCGCCGCUGUUGGUAAUGGAGUAGGAGAUCCAAUAGGAUGAAGGUGCCGGAAAUGAGGGAGCUGCGAUAGGGGAGAAGAGAAGAAGAGAGGGAGCCACCACCGUUCAGCUUGCCGCCGACGUUCGGGCUGUCGCCGAGGUCCCACACCGAUGCGUCACCGUUUGUGCCAUCGACCGAGGAGACUGCGUGAGACGCAAAGGAGAGGAGGCCACUGGUCGCCAUCCGUGAAGCUCGCCGAUGCUGCUGUCCGUGCCGCUGUUUGGGUCGCGUGAAGGAAAGAGGAGGCGCCGCCGUCGCGCGCUCCGUCACCACUGUUGCUGGAAGCUGUGCCACCGUGGCCGAGCUUCUGCCGCUAGGAAAUGCCAGCUGCCACCACUACUGUUCAUGUCCGCCACAGUCACCGUUGGAAGCCGCCGUUCCAUGAACCACCACCGCCACUGUCGGUUGCCAUUGCCGCUUGGGGUGGCUAUCGGGGCUACCGUCAGAUCAGUUUAGAGAUCACCACUGCUCUAUUUUCUUUUACAUAACCGAGCUUACAUGUGGCAUUUGGGGUUGUUUCUGCUAUUGAGAGAGCAAGUGGAGCAGAGGUUUUGGUUGUCGUUGAUUCAGGUUGAGGCGAAAGGAACUCUGUGAGGCGUUUGGGUUGUGGUUUCAACAUGUCAAGGUCUUUUCUUUUCAGGUUAUGGAUGACGAAGUUCGAAAGAGCUUAGUUAAUUCGUUUCUGUUUAAAUGCUAUGUUGUGUUGUAUUAGUUACUUUUUCCCCUCGCCUUUAUCCUUACAACUUUUUAUAAGAGGGAUAGGAAUAUGGAUUAUGUAAUGUUUGUAAAAUUAAUUAAUUAUAUAUAUAUAUAUAUAUAUAUAUAUAUAUAUAUAUAUAUAUUCUUUGUAAGUAUUGAUAUUUGUAUGGAUGUAUGUUACUUAUUAAAAAAGUUCUUUGAGCGGUUAUACGGUUUAAGUUUUAAACGAACUCAUAUUUUAGUAUUAAAUAUUGUUAAAAUCGUCAUAAUUCCCGAGCUAUCAGAGUGAUGCAGCCAGAAGCGUGACAUUCUAAUAGUAAGGGUGUUACACUGUACACCUUACUUUGAAUUGAAACACACCCAAAUUUUAAAACGCAAUAAACAUAAUCAACUUACAACAAAUUUAUUAGAUUCAUUCUGUGUUUGGAGGGACACUCCUUGUCAUACGGGUCAAAUAUAUAAAAUUUUUUCUUUCUUACGUCAGCCACCCAUAUCCACCAAUGCUCUGAAUAGCAAACAGGUGCAAAAAUCUGAAGCAUGUCCACAUUGAAAAGUGUUUUAGUUUAAUUCGCACAUAACCAAAGAAUUGCGAUAAGAAGUUUUAGAAACGAAAACUUACAUAUGGAUGUGAUGCUAAUUUUUUUAGGUUCAAAACGGGUAUAAACAUUGGGUAUUCUUCGACCAUAAAUGGCUUUUUGGAUUUCGGCUGUAAGAACUCCCCACCUGCAUGAUUUUCAAUGGCCAUGUUCUGCAGCAUUUGUGAAACACCAAAAGAAAUCUUUUAAUACACCCA